CAGCAGCAGCCACGGUAAUACGGAGGGUGCAAGCGUUGUCCGGAUUUAUUGGGUUUAAAGGGUGCGUAGGCGGCCUAAUAAGUCAGUGGUGAAAGCCUCCAGCUUAACUGGAGAACUGCCAUUGAUACUGUUAGGCUUGAGUAUACUUGAGGUAGGCGGAAUUGACAGUGUAGCGGUGAAAUGCAUAGAUAUUGUCAAGAACACCAAUUGCGAAGGCAGCUUACUAAAUUAUAACUGACGCUGAGGCACGAAAGUGUGGGUAUCAAACAGGAUUAGAUACCCCAGUAGUCCCUGUCUCUUAUAC
rnacentral:rRNA from 1 species